rnacentral:lncRNA from 1 species
AACUCAAAGGAUGUAUCACAGAUAUAAUAUACACAAUGUGAUAGUAGAAUAAUCCUUUUAUUCAUUUAUAGUCAAAAUUAUAAAUUUAUCCUUACAUUUGUACAGGAAUGUGUCAGCCAAUCUGACAUCUAGGACACACAUCUAACACUAUCUAGGUACCAGCAACUUCUUCAGAGUCAUGGUAUCAUGGCUCCACCACCUUUCUCUCAGUCACCAUCAGCCCAU